rnacentral:rRNA from 1 species
GACGAACGCUGGCGGCGUGCUUAACACAUGCAAGUCGAACGAUGAAGCUAGAGCUUGCUCUGGUGGAUUAGUGGCGAACGGGUGAGUAACACGUGAGUAACCUGCCCCGAACGAUGGGAUAACUGCUGGAAACGGUAGCUAAUACCGGAUAUGACCAAUGAAGGCAUCUUCUGUUGGUGGAAAGAAUUUCGGUUCGGGAUGGACUCGCGGCCUAUCAGCUUGUUGGUGAGGUAACGGCUCACCAAGGCGACGACGGGUAGCCGGCCUGAGAGGGUGAUCGGCCACACUGGGACUGAGACACGGCCCAGACUCCUACGGGAGGCAGCAGUGGGGAAUAUUGCACAAUGGGCGCAAGCCUGAUGCAGCAACGCCGCGUGAGGGACGACGGCCUUCGGGUUGUAAACCUCUUUUAGUAGGGAAGAAGCGAAAGUGACGGUACCUGCAGAAAAAGCACCGGCUAACUACGUGCCAGCCGCCGCCGUAA